GGAUUACCCGCUGAGUUUAAGCAUA
rnacentral:rRNA from 1 species